AGGUAGCGAAGUUAUACCGUUACCGUAUCGUCCGGACCAACUUCCUAAGCCACUUGAUGUGCCCGUCGCCGAAGGCCAAGAUAUUACAAUAAGUUGUGACUUCAAAACUGGCGACGACCAGCAGGUAGUCUCAUGGAGCAGACUCGACCAGCGUCCAUUGCCACAAAAUGUUCAACUCAACGGCAGAGAACUUAUCUUUCAGAGAGCAACCACCGAAAACGCUGCCGAGUACCUCUGCAAAGUGACAGGCGGCGGUUUCUUGCUGCGUCAACUAUACUUAAGACUUGCUGUGCUGACGUUGCCUCGUGUCGUUAUCCGUCCUGAGAGACCCACAGUGACGCGAGGGGAGGAGUUGACAGUGGAGUGUGUGGCGGAUGGCAACGCUCAGGUGUCUUGGGAGCGUGUCGACGGGGCUUUCGCUAGGUAAAACUUGAGAUCAAACAGGCAGCCACCAAAAACGCUGUCGAGUACCUCUGCAAAGUAACAGGCGGCGGUUUCCUGCUGCGUCAACUAUACUUAAGACUUGCUGUGCUGACGUUGCCUCGCGUCGUUAUCCGUCCUGAGAGACCCACAGUGACGCGAGGGGAGGAGUUGACAGUGGAGUGUGUGGCGGAAGACAACGCUCAGGUGUCUUGGGAGCGUGUUGACGGGACUUUCUCCAGUCGCGUGGAGAACCGAGGUGCACAGCUGGUCUUCCGGAACAUAGACGUUGAAGAUGGUGGAUCUUACAGGUGCAUUGCUCGAAAUAACGCAGGAGAGGCUGCUCAAACUACGGAAAUUGUUG